CGCUGGGUGAGGCUGAUUUCGUUGCCAGGCGGGGCAGCACGGCCGGUUGUUUGGGCGGGAACUGAUCAGCGGUGACAUGUACAAAGGGUGAGGGACUUGUGUGCACUGAGGGGUUCCAGAAAAAUCUUUAGAACACAGGCCACGGAGAAACGAGCGUAGAAUCCCAGCGCCACAAACACGACGGUGGGCCCGUGGCGGCUGGAACGCCAGCCAGCUUUGGUGCCCUUGGGCCUCGCUGAAGCCGCCCCCGCGCGACCCCCACAGUGGGGCUCAUCCGUCCAUCCAUCAGCCCCCCACACACACACAUACACACACACACACACACACACACACACACACACACACACACACACACACACACGAGUCACGUCCUGGGGAACGCUGCCGAGUUCCCUUUCUUGACAAUGAACCAUGAAAAUAUCUGCAAAAUCGUAGCUCUCAAAGACUGCAGCGGCGUGCACUGGUUUGGCCCCCUUGGAUCGCGUGAGGCCCGGCCACGGACACCGCGCGCCCGCCGGUCAGCGCCCCCGACCCACAGUGGCACGGGGAACCCACCUGCAAAUGACGCGUGUGCCUCCUCCCCAACUUAACCUUCGCUCGUCAGACACCCAGCGCUGGCUGAACCGGCCGCUGGGGACGGAACGCCGCCGCCGCCCAUCCUCGGGCACCGGGGGACGAAGUGGAGCGCUCCAGGGAGCCCGCAGAGGGCCAAGGGGGCGCGCAGCGCAGCGGGCAGAGCCGCUCAAGACAAGGAGGCGAGCGAGUGUCCGCUGCGUCAGGGGAUCCCGCCCCGCCGCCGCCGGGAGGCCGAGGGCGGGAGAGCGAGGUCGGGCCGGGCCCGCUCCUCUGCCUUCCACGCAUCGCUCCGGCGGGAGAGGCGCAGGCCGCGGGCAGGGCGAGAAGAGCGUCCCACGCGCCCAGAACGUCCGCUCCUCACCUGGUGGGCCUUACCUGAGCUGAGGAGAGCGCAAUUGCUACCCUGGUAUUAAGAGAAUCCCCAAGAUGGGGCCAGCCCGGUGGCCGAGUGGUUAAGUUCUCGCGCUCAGCUUCGACGGCCCAGGGUUUCACUGGUUCAAGUCCUGGGCGCGGAGAUGGCACCGCUCAUCAGGCCAUGGUGAGGCGGCAUCCCACGUGCCACAACUAGAAGGACCCACAACUAAAAAUACACAACUUUGUACCGUGGGGCUUUGGGAGAAAAAGGACAAAUAAAAUCUUUAAAAAAAAAAAAAAAAAAAGGGAGAGAGAGAAAGUCCGCAAGAACAGCAACAGGAGAGCUCCAGGCCUUUUCUCGGACAAGAACAGCUGACAACCCCAGGAGGAGGAAGCUUGGCAAGGAGCCUGCGGGGUGGGGUUGCCGCGCCCGCACCCUGGCGCCUGCAGCAGGGACUCACAAGGUAGAGGACACUCACCGCCUUCGGGCGCUGCGCGGAGACCCGGACUCCUGCGAGCCGGCGCACAGGCCUGGGCGGGCGGUUCCAGCAGCAGGAGCAAGAGUCGGUUGUCAGGCCGUGGUCAAGCCCAGAGUUUUGCACGCAUCUAGGACGCUAAUUUGCUUAGCUACAGUCAUUUACAAAACGUGUUGGGGAGGCUGGCCUGGCGGCAUAGUGGUAAAGUACGCAGGCUGUGCUUUGGUGGCUCAGGGUUCACAGGUUCGGAUCCUGGGCGCCAAUGUACACACCGCUCAUCGAGCCAUGCUGUGGCGGCGUCCCACAUACAAAAUAGAGGAAGAUUGGCAAUCUCCCUCACAAAAUAAAUAAAAAUGUGUUGGGGGUUUACUCGGAGGCAAAAAAUGCCAAUUUCCGGCAAAAAAAAAAAAAAAGGCCGCACCUUGGAACGAGGUGUAUCUAUGGAUCACAGCAGCCUCCUGGAAACACGGCUCGGCCACUGUCUCCCAGCACUACCUCAUCUCCGUCUGACCCGGAGUCCCGGGGCCAUCUGGCCGACCUCGGGAGCGUGGCGGCAGAGACGACCGAGGACACGCAGGAGCUGGAGCGGGCCGAGUAGUGGCUCCCCGGCCGCCCGCGCGUGGGGUCCGGUCCUUCCAUGUCUCCGGAUUGGGACUUGGAAACAAUUCUGCAGAGGCCCCUCCGACGACCGGACCGAACAAGUGCCCGAGGCCGAGCCCGUCGUGCUCUCUAUGGGCCUCCCCGCAUGGCCGGGUCCGCAGUUCCGGAGCCGGCCGCGUGCGGGCGCCGGACACCCACUUCCGUGCUGGGCGACCCGUCCCACAGCUUCACAUCCCCGCCUGGGGUGCGCGCUGUCGCCGCCCCUCCAGCCUGCACGUCCCGUCUCCGGCGAAUGGCUCUAUCGUUUCGAGCAGAGCAAGUCUUUCUAAAGCAUAAAAACAAAGCCUAAAAGCCAUGGAUAAAACUGAUAAACUUGACCACAUAAACGUUUAAACAAAGUCUGUCUCUGCGCAUACCCUGACAAAGCCCAAAGACAACAAACGGCUGUAGGGAACAUUGGUGUAAAUGCACGCGUGGUAUGGAUUUCAGCAGUAUUGAAUGGGGGGACGGGGGAAUUAAAAGCCAUUCACUGAAUAAAGUUCCAGUACAUCUGUAUGAUGCAACACUAUGAUGUGCGUGUGUUUGAAAUCAGGUAAAUGUUGAAAUGCUGAUGGUGAACUGUUUAAUGAAAUAUAAACACAAGGUGUAGAACUUCCUUUGGUGUAAAAAACAAAACAAAACAAAACACUAAGCACGUACUUAUCUUAAGAAAGAUAUACGGACAGGCAAAGGAGCUAGAGUUGCUACAGCAAUUUCGAAAACCAAGAAUAAAAAGUCUCCCCUAAUUUAAUGCUUAUUUAGAGAGCUGAUAGAGACGGUGUGAUGUUGGUAGAUGGAUAGACAUGUUGAUCAAUGGAAGUGAACAGAGACCCAAACAAAUAUGUCCAAACCCAACUGAAUUUUGGCCAACACACAAAAACAAUUCACAGGCAGGAACAUGGCCUCUCCAUCAAAUAGGAGCAGAGCAACCCAACAUCUGCAGGCAAGUGAGCAAACGAUGCAAAUAAUCCAAAACCAACCUAUAAAUCAAAAUUGGGAUGAGUUUACUAUGAGCCAAAGUAAGGAUUAUAACCCGGGAAGGCCUUAGAAGGCUGUUCUAGAGAAGCAUGAGUUUCAG
ensembl:lncRNA